AAAUAAUUAAAACUUUUAACAACGGAUCUCUUGGUUCUGGCAUCGAUGAAGAACGCAGCGAAAUGCGAUAAGUAAUGUGAAUUGCAGAAUUCAGUGAAUCAUCGAAUCUUUGAACGCACAUUGCGCUCGCCAGCAUUCUGGCGAGCAUGCCUGUUCGAGCGUC
rnacentral:rRNA from 1 species